GAUGAACGCUGGCGGCGUGCCUAAUACAUGCAAGUCGAGCGAACGGACGAGAAGCUUGCUUCUCUGAUGUUAGCGGCGGACGGGUGAGUAACACGUGGAUAACCUACCUAUAAGACUGGGAUAACUUCGGGAAACCGGAGCUAAUACCGGAUGAUAUUUUGAACCGUAUGGUUCAAAAGUGAAAGACGGUCUUGCUGUCACUUAUAGAUGGAUCCGCGCUGCAUUAGCUAGUUGGUAAGGUAACGGCUUACCAAGGCAACGAUGCAUAGCCGACCUGAGAGGGUGAUCGGCCACACUGGAACUGAGACACGGUCCAGACUCCUACGGGAGGCAGCAGUAGGGAAUCUUCCGCAAAGGGCGAAAGCCUGACGGAGCAACGCCGCGUGAGUGAUGAAGGUCUUCGGAUCGUAAAACUCUGUUAUUAGGGAAGAACAUAUGUGUAAGUAACUGUGCACAUCUUGACGGUACCUAAUCAGAAAGCCACGGCUAACUACGUG
rnacentral:rRNA from 1 species